CAAACAGGAUGUUUGAACCGAGGAAGCAGAUCAAGUUCAUUUACCGCCAUUGUGUCACCGUGAAAUAUGGGUUUACAUGUUUUAACAAAGAAGAAAACUGAAAAUAUAACGUUUUAACGAUGACAUGAGGAGCAAACAUGCUUAUACAGAUACAAAGACAUUUCAGCUAGAAAAAAAAAGAAAGAAGAAUAAUUCGUGCCCAUGGGUAUUCCAACAGACUGAUGGAAGACCUAAUUACAUAAGACUAUGUGGAUAUUGUGGAAAAAAAUUAAUAUCAACAAAAAUGGGAGUAGAAAGCAACUGAUUGCGAAGAGAAAUAGAGGUGCUGUUUAUGUUAGUGACACAGAGCAUGAAAAUAUUAAUCGGAUAGUAGAGAAAAGACAGAGGCGUAAAAGACCUCUAUCCACACCUCAGCGAGAUGUCGAGGGAAAUUUAGAAGAAGGAAGGACUGUGGAGAAACAAAACAGGCGGCUGAAACAAGAAGACAGCGGAGUUGUCUCCCUCGAUAUGAUUAGAUUAAAACAUACGAGGGGUAGUAGACGGGCGCUUUUCCUCCCGGACGAAGAACAUGAACAAAUCAGUCGAGAAGUACAGCAGAAACAACGGCGUGAAAGGCAUGCUCUCGGGGAUGCAGGAAAGUCGGUGUCCAGACCAGAAACUGAAACUACUCCGGAGAUAGCAAAGGAUGGGAUGGAAAGAAUAACUUUGCGGAAAAUGUCAAACCCUGAUGAGGAAAGAAAAGAAUACGAAAAUAAAAUGAAGAGAGACUUCAGAGACACUGGCUAUGAAUUUGAAGAAGCCGUAGAUAAGCAAAUCAUUAAAACACCGGAGUCUUUGCGAUCCCGGAAGAACAGAGCUGGAAUUUAUCUAGCUGAAAAAAAUAAGAAAGAUAUUGAAACUCUCAUUGAUAAAUUCAAUCCAGUGAAUAGUCCUACGAAAGACGAUGUCGAUUUUUACAAGCCAUUCAAGAACUCCUCACCAGACUCGUCCUCCCCGUCUGAUUCUACAGAUGGACCGUCAAUGAAGUCAAGCUGUUGUUCCGGUUCUUACCAACGUAAUGUGGCUAGGGUUCAGGUCAGUACAGAAAUAACAACACAAGAGAAAAAAACGCCACUGCUCGGCUCUACAGGGAGAAAUAAGGUAUGGAUAAAGUGGAUAUAAAUGGAUGAAUUUUUUUUUUUUUUUUUUAAAUGAAGUUGACAAGGUAUAAAUAGGGUGGAUAACAAAGAAAGAAUAAAAUAUAUAGAUACGUAAAGUGGAUGAUAAGGAAUAGGUACAGCGAAUAAGGUGACAGUAAAGAAGGUGAUAACGAGAUAUAAAGAAGGAAGUUCACGAGAGAUAAAUAAAGUGGAUAAAAGGCACAAAUACAGUGCAUAAUAAAGUACAAAUACAGUGCAUAACAAGGUAUAAAUAAUGUGGAUAAAAAGGUUAAAAAAAGAAUGAAGUGGAUAAAAGGUAGAAAUAAAAUGGAUAAAAGGUAGAAAUAAAGUGGAUGACAGGGUAUAAAUAAAGUGGAUAAAAAGGUAUGAAUAGAGUAGAUAACAGAGUAUAUAUAAAAAGAUUGAUGUGGUAUAUAAAUAGAUUGCAUAACAAUUUGUUAAUAAAGUGGAUAUCAAAGUAUUCAUAAAUGAAUGGUGAGGUAAAGCUAUACUUUACUGAACAUCGAUUGCAUCUAAUGUGCAAUUGUGCGAUUCCUAAAAUGAGAAGACAACGAACACCAACCAAUCUCAUAAUAUGCCACAAAUAAUACAGAUUUGAUAGUAAGGGAACCACGGACCUCUGGAAACACCAGGAGAGAGACCAGGUGCCUAGAAGAAUUACGAAUCACCAGCUGAACGGUCACACGCGCCGUGAGCCCUAUAUCUUGAUCAGUCGCGUUCUUUCGUGAUGGAGGGGAACUUGAAACAAAACGACACCAAGCAGAAAAUAUCCACUUUAGUUCUAAUUUUGAUUUGUUUCUUCCUUAUCGCUAUAGUGAUUGUAUUGGUAAUGAUAUUCAUCU